ensembl:lncRNA
GAAACACGGCGGCUCAAACGCUCAAAAGUUUGGUUAUACUUUACGAGAGCGGAUGACAACAGGGCAACUUUCAAUACUUGCAAAGUAGAUAUUUCAUUUAAGGGAGGAAACACUACGAAUAUGCAAAAGCAUUUGCUCACAAAACACACGAUGACCUUAAAUGAAUGUCGUGGUUUUAAUUCAGCUCGUGAAUCUCAACCCAGCAGCAGCGGUAACGUUUGCACGUCCUCUCCCGUUAAUGCGGCAGGUGACCAUGAUGAGAGAGACAGAGUCUGGCUGGCGCUCGCUGGCAGUUCUCGCUGCAGUCUACCGGUAGCGUCUCCUUUCAGGCCAGGAUAGACGAAUGUCACCGAGCAGUGACUAAGUUUGUGGUCAAAGGCUUGCCACAGCAGAUGCCCCGAUUUUCAACCCUAGAGAUGGGAUUGUGUGAGAAACUCCCAGCAGAUCCCGUCUCAAAAUUCCAUCUCAGCAAUUUCUGAAACAGUCAGACCAGCCAGUCUGGCACCAGCAAUAACCACAUUAGUUAGAUCACUUUUCUGCCCCAAUUUGAUGCUGUCUUUGAACAGUUCAGCAGGUCAUCUCCACCCUGUCUACAUGCUUAAAUGCAGUUGCUGCCAUAUGAUUGGCUGAUUAGAUAUUAGCGUUAAUGUGCAGUUGAACAGGUAUACCUAAUAAAGUGUCCGAUGCUCGAGGAGGAGGAGAACGCUGUAAUCCUUGUGCACCGUAGAGGUCAAGUCCAUGUCAUCGCAGUGGCUGCAGAAGCCAAACAGCUCAUUCACAAAAGCAGCAGCAUCCUCAGUGUAUCCCUUUGAAAUGCGCUGUGCACACGAUUGCAAGCUCCAGGGAAACUCACUCCCGGCUGACUGUGAGACCUCGG